CAUCAGUAAAGCGGCGGACGGGUGAGUAACACGUAGGUAAUCUUCCCUUGAGCGGGGGACAACGAGCCGAAAGGCUCGCUAAUACCGCAUAAGUUCUCAGAGACUCCGGUCUUUGAGAGGAAAGCUAGGUAGCAAUAUCCGGCACUCGAGGAGGAGCCUGCGUCGCAUCAGCUAGUUGGUGGGGUAACGGCCCACCAAGGCGAAGACGCGUAGCUGGUCUGAGAGGAUGAUCAGCCACACUGGGACUGCGACACGGCCCAGACUCCUACGGGAGGCAGCAGUGGGGAAUAUUGGACAAUGGGCGCAAGCCUGAUCCAGCCACGCCGCGUGAGUGAUGAAGGCCUUCGGGUCGUAAAGCUCUGUGGGGAGGGACGAACCGCUGCGGGUUAAUACCCCGCAGCAUGACGGUACCUCCUUAGCAAGCACCGGCUAACUUCGUGCCAGCAGCCGCGGUAAUACGAAGGGUGCAAACGUUGCUCGGAAUUAUUGGGCGUAAAGCGCACGUAGGCGGCUUGGCAAGUCGGAUGUGAAAGCCCUCGGCUCAACCGAGGAAGUGCAUCCGAAACUGCUGAGCUUGAGUACUUAAGAGGAUCGCGGAAUUCCCGGUGUAGAGGUGAAAUUCGUAGAUAUCGGGAGGAACACCAGUGGCGAAGG
rnacentral:rRNA from 1 species